rnacentral:siRNA from 1 species
UUGGUUUCUUUUUUCAAGUUA